UUUUCAUUCCUUGUAACACGUCUGUUUAAUGUUACUAUAAUAAGUAUUUAUUCGAACUAAAAACAGUCGAACAUCGAGUUGAAAUUCACCCACCACCAAGGGAUCUCCUAACAGAGUCUCCAAUCCUUUUGUCCGAUGACGACGAAGUGAAAGACGAAGAACUUUGUUUGAUCGAUCUUACAAAGUUGGAAGAUGAUUAUCGAGAGGAUUCGCCGGAAGAGACCAACGCGAUCCCUUUAACCCAAUCGCAGUCUGAUUUUCCGUUUACAUCUCUUGCUCACUGGUCUCCCUUAACGCUGGAGGGUCCGUCAACGGCCAUUCCAGGCAGAGGAGAAGGCUUGAUUGCGCCAAAGACUCCAGACAUCGAAUCCUUGCUCCGUGGGGAAAUCAUCGAAAACGACGGUGAAUGUCCAACA